rnacentral:rRNA from 1 species
GACCCCGCACAAGCGGUGGAUCAUGUUGUUUAAUUCGAAGAUACGCGAAAAAACCCUUACCAGGUCUUGACAUCCCUUGCAAUGCUGUAGAGAUACAGUGGAGGUUAUCAAGGAGACAGGUGGUGCAUGGUUGUCGUCAGCUCGUGUCGUGAGAUGUUGGUUAAGUCCCGCAACGAGCGCAACCCUUAUUGCUAGUUGCCAUCAUUUAGUUGGGGACUCUAGCGAGACUGCCAGUGAUAAACUGGAGGAAGGUGGGGAUGACGUCAAAUCAUCAUGCCCCUUAUGACCUGGGCUACAAACGUGAUACAAUGGCCGGUACAGAGGGCAGCCACACCGCAAGGUGGAG